UUGGUUAAGCUAUAAAGAGCGCAGGGUGGAUGCCUUGGCACUAAGAGCCGAUGAAAGACGUGAUAAGCUGCGAAAAGCUUCGGGGAGGAGCAAAUAUCCAUUGAUCCGGAGAUAUCUGAAUGGGGAAACCUGGCUGAGAAGACCUCAGUCGUCGUAUGGUGAAUCCAUAGCCAUACGUCGGGAACCGCCUGAACUGAAACAUCUAAGUAGGGCGAGGAAAAGAAAGAAAACUCGAUUUCCAAAGUAGCGGCGAGCGAAAUGGAAAGAGCCUAAACCGGAGCGCGUGCGUUCCGGGGUUACGGACUGCAAUAUGUGAGCUUUAGGAUAGUGGAACGGUCUGGGAAGUCCGAUCACAGAGGGUGAAAAUCCCGUACACGAAAUCCAAAGGCAGCUAGCAG
rnacentral:rRNA from 1 species